rnacentral:misc_RNA from 1 species
AUAAGAGACAGGUGAGUCAUCGAAUCUUUGAACGCACAUUGCGCCCCUUGGUAUUCCAUGGGGCAUGCCUGUUCGAGCGUCAUCUACACCCUCAAGCCCUGCUUGGUGUUGGGCGUCUGUCCCGCCUCCGCGCGCGGACUCGCCCCAAAUCCAUUGGCAGCGGACCUUGCCUCCUCUCGCGCAGCACAUUGCGCUUCUCGAGGUGCUUGCGGCCCGCGUCCACGAAGCAUCAUUUACCGUCUUUGACCUCGGAUCAGGUAGGGAUACCCGCUGAACUUAAGCAUAUCAAUAAGCGGAGGA